AUCCGUGAAACCAUCUUUAAAAAAUGACUCAGCUUUACACAUCUGCCAAAACCAGAGAGUGCAAAGCCAUCUUAAAAUAGUAUCAGUCAGAAGAACUUUCUGCUUCCCUUUUCUCUCCUGCCUCUAGUGCUCCAACAAAGAGGGGUCAGCAACAGCAGCUGAGAAUGUGAGAGGAGUGAACAAACAUGAAAGAAGCAGCUCACCACAUUGUGUUUUGCCAAGUCCGGUGGCCUGCCCACAGUUACGACCUAACUGCGGAAAGUAGUGAGUGUGUGUGUGUGUGGGAAUCCUGUUUUUAAUGAAAGCUGAAAUGUUGAUUAACAUCACUGUCUGGGCUUUGGAGUUUCAUCUUCUAGUCUGUGCAAUGUGAUUUAAAACAGCAAUUUAACUUUUUAUUUCCUAAGCAUGAGGAGGACAGUUAAAGGAGAGCCUAGGUUAUUUUCCAAGGACCUUGGAAGAGGUUUCUUUAUUAAAUAUAUUAAAUAUUAAAAUAUAUUAAAUAUAUUUUUCUGAGGGAGAAAGGAAAAUAAUUAUCUCUUAAGUUCUCUGAUUAGGCUCCCUCCCUAUUUGCCUCUGUGCACAAGCAGUUAAACAUGUGCAGUCACCUCUAUUCUAUUUUUUUUCACAGCCCUUUUUUUGUGUUUUAUUUUACUUUAUUUUAAAAAUUAUUUUUAAAAUUUAUAUAUGAAAGCAGAAUGCAUUACAAUUCUUAUUACACAUCUAGAGCACAAUUUUUCAUAUCUCUGGUUGUAUACAAAGUAUAUUCACACCAAUUCGUGUCUUCAUACAUGUACUUUGGAUAAUAAUGUCCAUCAUAUUCCACCAUCAUUGCUAACCCCAUGCCCCCUCCCCUUCCUCCUCUAUUCUUAAAAAAAAGAAAAAAAAAGAAAAAAAAGAAAGAAAGAAAGAAAAAAGAAUCCUCCUCAGAACUGGGUGUAGUGGUACAUGCUUGUAAUCCCAGCAAUUUGGGAGACUGAGGCAGAAGGAUUGCAAGUGAGAGGGCAGCCUCAGCAAUUUACUGGCCCUAAGCAACUUAGUGAGACCCUGUUUCAAAAUAAAAAAUAAAAAGAGCUGAGGAUGUGGUCCAGUGGUAAAGCACCCUGGGUUCAAUUCCCAGUAGCAACACCACCACCACCAUCAUCAUUAUCAAAUAUAAAACCUCUUCCUCUCCCAGUUCUGAUCUAGUUAUAUUGAUCUAGUCCCCCUGCCUUUUUUUUCUUUUGAGAGCAGAUUUUUUUUCCCCAUUUUUUUUAUCAGUGCAUUGUAAUUGUACAUAUUGAUGGGAUUUGUUGUUAUCCCGCCACUGAGAGUGGUUCAGGAAUCAAACCCAGGGUCUCUGGCAUUGUAGGCUUGUGACCUGCCACUGAGCUAUACCCCAGCCCUUCUUCCUCUUUAGGGUCAAAUUUACAGAAAAAUAAUUGGCUGUGUGUCAGAGGUCUGUCAGGUCAGUUCCAGAACACUGAAUUCCUGAUCUCAGCAGCAGGCACAUGAUUCUGACACCGCAAAACACAGUGGCCAAUAUCUAUGAACAGCAACUGGUCUAAGGAAUGCGCCUAUGGCACAUGCAGUGACAAUUAGAAUACUUACUUCAGAUUGCUACUCAGAGUUUGGAAGGACUGCUGUGAAACCCAGUUUCUGGUCCUAUUACCACAAUGAACACACUCUUGUAAGAUUUAUAAUUUCUAAUAUUUGUUACUAUAAACUACAUCAUACUACAACUUAGUGAGGCCCUUAGCAACUUAGUGAGACCCUAUGUGGAAAUAUAAAAUAGAAAGAACUGGGACUAUAUAGCUCAGUGAAAAAGCACCCCUGGGUUCAAUCCACAGUGAAAAAAAAACAAACAAACCCCAAAAACAAAAAAACAAAUCAAAAUCAAAUCAAGGGGUCUGGAUUGUUGCUCAGUAGUAGAGUGCUUGCCUAGCAGGCAUGAGGCACUGGGUUCGAUCUCCAAGCAAAACGUGAAAAUACAUAAAUAAAAUAAAGGUAUUAUAUUCAUCUACAACUAAAAAAUAUUAAAACAAACAAACAGAUUUAGCUAGACACAGUGGUUCAUGCCUGUAAUCCCAGAGACUUGGGAGAUAGAGGCCAGAGAAUCACAAGUUCAAGACCAGUCUCAGCAACUUAGUAAGACUGUGUCUCAAAAGCUAAAUAAAAAGAGCUGUGAUGUAUCUCAGAGAUAGAACGUCCCUGGGUUUGAUCCCCAAUACUAAAACAAAACAAAACAAAACAGCAGCAGCACUACCACCAAGGUUUAUUGAGAUAUAAUUCACAUGUAUCAUGUAGUUCACUUAUUUAAAGCCGUGUGACAUUCAAUGUGCUUUACUCUAUUCAUGGUUAUGCAAACAUCACUGCAAUAAAUUGUAAAACAUUUUUGUCACCCCCAAAAUGUAUUCCAUGCCUACUUGUAGUAAUUUCCCAUGCCACCUCCAGUCUCAUCUUUUUGUUAUUGAAUUUUAACUAUUCUUUAUCCAUUCUGAUUACUAGAUCUUUAUCAGGUAUAUAACCUACAAGUAUUUUUCUUACUCUGUAGGUUGUCUGUUCAUUUUCUUAAUAGUGUUCUUUGAUGCAUAAAUGAUAAUGAUGAUGAUGAUGAUUUUGCAGUGCUGGGGAUCGAACCCAAGGCCUCCCACAUGCUGGGCAAGCUAUCUACCACUAAGCUACAUCCCCAGCCUCAUGUUUUCUAUUUUGAUGGUAUAAUUUGUCAAAUUUUUCUUUGGUUGCCUGUGUUUUUAGUGUUGUAUAUGAGAAAUCAUCAAGCAAACCAAUCUGAAGAAAAAUUAAUAAAAAUCAAGGUAAAGAUUUUACUUCUAUAUUUUAUUCUAACAAUUUUAUAGCCUUUUAAGGUUUUACAUUUAUACCCAUGAUACAUUUCAUGUUAAGCUUUGUAAGUGAUGUGGGGUUGGUGUCUAUAUUCCUUCUAGUACCAAAUGGUCUCAGUACCAUUUGUAACUAUUUGUUAUUUUACUCAUUGAAUUUUACUCCAAAUCUCUUGACAAUCUGUUAAAAAGUCAGCUGACUAUAAAUGUAGGAAUAUUUUUGUAACGUCAAUUCAAGUGGGCUGUUCUGUAUGCCUGUCUUUGUUCCAUUAACCACACUGUCUUUAUUACCUUAGCUUUGCUGUACUAAGGACGAAUCCCAGAGGCUCCACUCACCCAUUGAGCUACAAUCCUAGUGCCCUCACCUUUUCUUUUAAGAUAGGGUCUCACUAAGAUGUCCAGGCUGGCUUCAAACUUGAGAUCCUCUUGUCUCAUCCCUCAGAGUAGCUGGGAUUACAGGUGUGUGCCACCAUUCCUGGCUUUUAUUACCUUAGUUUAUAGUAAAUUUCAAAAGCUGCAGGGAUGAACCUUCAAUUUUGUUCUUUUUUUUUUAAACUAAGACUGCUUGUUUAUUUUAGGUUACUUGAAUUUCCAUAUUACUUUUAAGAUCAGUUUGUCCUAAUGUCAUGUGUAGCUAAUAAAAAAAAUUUUAAAAAAGCAAUACAAAAAAAAAGAUCAGUUUGCCAAUUUCUAUAACAACUCCAGUUGAAAAUUUGAUAGGGAUUGUGUUGAAUCUAGAUUAAUUAGGGGAAUACUGCCACCCUAAUUAUACUGUCUUUCAAUCUAUGAACAUAAGAUGUGUUUCCAUUUACUUAGAUCAUCUUAAUCUCUUUCAAUAAUGUUUUAUAAUUUUCAGUAUCUGUGUUUUAGACUUUUCUUAUUAUAUUUACUCCUUAGUAUUUUACUCCUUUUUUAAAUAUUUAUUUUUUAAGUUGUGGUUGGACACAAUAUCUUUAUUUUAUUUAUUUUUACGCAGUGCUGAGCAUCGAACCCAUGGCCUUGUACUUACUAGGCGAGCGCUACCGCUGAGCUACAACCCCAGCCCAGUAUUUUAUUCCUUUUGAUGUAAUUAUAAAUGAAAUUGUCUUUAUCUUUGUUUCAGAUUAUUCAUUGCUAGGAUAUAGAUACAUAAUUAAAUGCACUUUUUACUUACUUUUCUUUUUUUUUUUUUUUUGGUAACAGAGGUUGAACCCAGGGGCAUUUUACCACUGAGCUACAUACCUAGCCCUUCGUACUAUUUUUUAUUUUUGAGACAGGGUCUUGUUAAAUUGCUGAGACUGGCCUGGAAUUUACAGUCCUCCUGCCUCAGCCUUCCAAGGAAUUGGGUGCCACUGUGCCCAUCCCAACUUACUAUAUUUUCAAUUUACAAUGAGUUUAUGGGGAUAUAUCCCCAUCCUAAGUUGAGAAGCAUCUGUAAUGAUCUUGUAUCUUGCAAUUGUGCUGAACUUAUUUGUUGGUACUUGUAGAUUUUUAGUGGAAUCCUUUGGAUUUUCUACAUACAAGAUUGUAUCAUCACUGGGUAUGGUGGCUCAUGUCUGUAAUUCCAGUGGCUGGGGAGGCUGGGGACGGAAGAUCCCAAAUUCAAAGCCAGCCUCAGCAAUUCAGCGAGGUCCUAAGCAACUUAACAAGACUCUGUCUCAAAAUCUCAAGAUAAAUAAAAAAGGGCUGGGGAUGUUACUUAGUGGUUGAGCACCCGUGAAUUCAAUCCCUGGUACAGAAAAAAGAUAAUAUCAAAUAGAGGUAGUUUUGCUUCUUUCUUCUCAAUCUGGAUAACUCUUAUUCCCCCCCCCCCUUUUUUUUUUUUGCCUAAUUGCCCUGAUCAGGCCUUUGGUUUGAUGUUGAAUGAAAGUGAUAAAAACAGAUAUACUAUCACUUUUUUUAUUUUUUGGUACUUAGUGCGUUUAACCACUGAGCCAUAUCCCCAGCCCUUUUUGUUUUUUUUUAUUUUGAGACAGGUUCUCACUAAAUUGCUGAGGGCCUCCCUAAAUUGCUGAGGCUGGCUUUGAAAUUGCAUCCUCCUGCCUUAGUCUCCUGAGUCAUUGGGAAUACCGGCAUACAAGACUGCACCCAGCUGUCACUCUCAAUCUUAGGGCAAAGUAUACAGUCUUUCACCAUCAAUUGUCAGCUGUGGGGAUUUUUGUAGAUGCCGUUUAUCUGACUGAAUAAGUUUCCUUCUGUACCUAAUUUGUUAAGUGAUUUUAUCAUGAAAGGGCAUUUGAUUUUGGCAAAUUUUUUCUGAAUCUCUUGAAAUAAUCAUGUGGACUUUAUUCUUUAUUCUUUAUUCAGUAUGUAAGUAUUUUGAAUUUGAUAUAUAACACUAAAUUAUCUUUAAAAAUUGUAACAAAUUAUAUUCUGAAGAGAAAUUAUAAAAUUUUUAUUUGCUCAUUACCAGCAAUGGUUAUUACUGAUCUCAUUUUUCUUUUAUGGUGCUGGAGAUUGAAUCCACAGCCUUAUGCAUGUAAUGCAAGCAGUCUACAAACUGAGCUAUAUCCCCAGCCCAGCAAUGGUUAUUAUUAAAUACUUCUUAAUUUAUCAGUUGAAAACUACUUAUUGUUUUACUUUUAACCACUGGACUACAUCCCCAGCAUUUUUUAUUUUUUAUUUUGAGACAGGGUCUCACUAAAUUGAUUAUGGCCUUGCUACAUUGCUAAGGCUGGCCUGGAACUUGCUAUCUUCCUACCUUAGCCUUCCGAGUUGCUGGGAUUAUAAGUGUAUUCCACUGCAUUCCUAUCAGAAAUGGAACUCAGGGGAGCUUAGUCACUAAGACACCCCUUUUUUAUUAUUUUAUUUUGAAACUGGGUUUCGCUAUGUGCUUAGGGCCUUGCUAAAUUGUUGAGGUUGGCUUUGAACUGGAGAUUCUCCUGCCUUAGGAUUACAGACAUGUGCCAAGGUGCACAGCUUAAUAUUUUUUUAUUUAUAGAUAUUCAUAAUUUUUUCUUGUUAAUUGCAUAAUUUCAUAAUUUCACUUUAACCUUGUUUGUAAUUUUUUGUUAAUUUGUAAAAAUUUUUAUAAAUUAUAGCUAUUUACUCCAUGCCAUUUAUGACAAUUACAGAUACUAUGUCAAAGAACAUAAAAAGGUAUUCUGGAGGCUGAGGCUAUAGCUCACUGGUAAAGUGCUUGCCUCGCAUGUGUGAGACAGACACUGGGUUGGAUCCUCAGCAUCACUUAAAAAUAAAUAAAGAUAUUGUGUGUCCAUCUACUACUAAAAACAUCUUUAAAAAAAUUUUAAAAACAGUAUUCUAGAGAAUACAAGAAAUCAUUCACUUUGCCUCACAUGGCGUCAAAAUUACUUUCUUCUUAAGAUCUUAGUUAAAAGUAUAUAAAACUCAGUAACUUCUUGUAUUUAGACCUUAAAAAAUGUCAGAUAUUUUCCAUAACAUCUUUGACACAUUUAAAAUUAUAUUCUCAGAUUCUACUGAUGCCUUUUUUUUGCUAAAGAACUGAUCAUAAAGGAACUAAAAAUUUCUGGGUGUUCAAACUGUCAUUAUGACUAUGCCUUAUAAUUUUCCAUGCUUGCUUUUGGUCGCUUUCAAUUAUAUGCUCACCUGUGUUUGCCUACUGAGCAGAACUGCCAUUUCUGGGAAUGUUUUGGUAGUUUGUGUCUCUCAAGGUUUUAAUAUUUCAUUAGAGUUGUAGAAUUUAGCAGCACAUACUUUGUAUGAUUUCCAUUCAUUUAAAUUUUUAAGUUUUGGCUUUUGAACCAGGAAAUAUGGCUAAUUUCAUCAACAUUUUGGGUGCACUAAGGAGAGUGUAUUUUAUUGCUGUUGGGUGGAUUGUUCUAUAAAUGACAAUUGGUCAAAUUGGUUACUACUGCUGGGUGUUGUGGUACAUGCCUACAAGCCCAGAAGCUCAAGAAGCUGAGGCAGGAGAAUCAUAAGUUCAAAGUCAGACUCAGCAAUUUAGGGAGGCCCCAAGCAACUUAGUGAGACCCUGUCUCAAAAAAUAGAAAGGGAUAGGUAUGUGGCUCAGUGAUUAAGUGUCCUGUUACCAAAAUUAAAUAAAUAAAUAGAUAGAUAAUUGGUUAAUACUAUUGCUCAAUCUUCUAUACCUUUGUUUGUUUUCGUAUUGGGGUUGAAUCCAGGAACACUUUACCAAUGAGCCACAUUCCCAACCCUUUUUAUUUUUGAUUUUGAAACAGGGUCUCACAAAGUUGCUCGUUUUGAAUUUUCAAUCCUUCUGCCUUAGCCUCCCAAACUAGGAUUGCAGUGUGUGUACCACCAUGCUAGCAUGUCUUCUAUAACUUUAUGGAUUUUAUCUCUUCUUCUAUCAAUUAUUGAGAGAGGGGAAUUGAAAUCUCUGACAUUAAUGGUUGACAUCUCUAGAUCUCCUUUAAGUUCAUUAAUUUUUGCUUCAUGUAUACUAAUGCACUAUUAUUAGAUAUGUAAAUGUUUAGGAUUAUUAUAUCCUCUUGAUGAAUUGACUCAUUUAUCAUUCUAAAAUUAUCCCCUCAAUCCCUGAAAACAUUCUUUGCUCUGAAAUCUGCUUGUCUUAUAUUAAUUAAAGUCUGUAUAGCUUUUUGUUGUUGUUGUUGUUUUCUGAUAUUGGGGAUUGAACCCAGAGGUGUUUUACCACUAAGCCAUAUCCCCAGCCCUUUAAAUUUUUUUUUUUUACACAAUACCUUUAAUUAAUUAAUUUUUAUGUGAUUCUGGGGAUCGAACCCAGUGCCUCAGCUGUGCUAGGCAAGUGCUCUACCACUGAGCCACAGCUUGUCACAACACCAGCUCCCCCCCUACCCCUUUUAAAUGGUGUUUUUAGAUUAUCUACAAUUGUUUUGAGUAUUGAAACAUUUGGGCUUAAAUAAAUCACAUUGCUCUUCAUUUUCUGUUUUUGCUAACUUUUUUUUUCUAGUUUACUUUUCCUAUUUUGGAUUAUUAAAUACUGUUAUUCAGUUUUGUCUCUCUUGUUGGUUUAUUAACUAUAAUUCUUUUUAUUUUUGGUAGUUUAUUUUUUUGCUUUGAGAUUUAUAAUACACAUCUUUAAUUUACCAUGGUCUAUCUUUUUUUUAUGUUCUAUCUUAAAGUGAUAUUAAAUCACUUUUCAUGCAGUAUAAUACCUUGUAACAUUAUACUCUCAUUUGUUUCCUUCCAGCUUUUGGGCUACACAUUUUACCUUUUUAUAUUUACAGGUCCCAGAAUAUGCUGUUCUGCUUUAGCCAGUUAGUUAUCAUUUAAAGACAUUUAAAAAACAAGAGAUAAUAACUGUAUAAUUACCCAUGCACUUACCAUUGCUGGUGCUUUUCUUUCCUUUGUGUAGAUAGAGAUUUCCAUCUGGUAUCAUUUUCUUUCUGAUUGAAGAAUUUCAUUUAACAUUUUAUAUAGUAAAGUUCUGUUUGCUAAUGAUAAAUUCUGUUAGCUUUUGUAUCUAUGAAAGAGUUUUUAUUUCCUUUCUUUUUUGGUAGGUGGGGAUGGGGUACCAGGGAUUGAACUCAGGAGCACUCAACCACUAAGCCACACUCCCAGUCCUUUUUUGUAUUUUAUCUAGAUUCAGGGUCUCACUGAGUUGCUUAGUGCCUGGCUUUUGCUGAGGCUGGCUUUGAGUUUGCAAUCUUCCUGUCUCAGCCUCCCAAGCCACUGGGAUUACAGGAGUGUGCCACCGCCCACCUGGCCCCUUCUUUUUUAAAUUAUUAUUUUUUUCCUGAGUAUAGAAUUGUAGGUCAAUAGCUUAUUCCUUAUAGUAUUUAAAAGAUAGUCCUACCCUGUCUUCCAGCUUGCAUUAUCUACAAUGAGAAAUCUAUAAUCUUUCCUCUCCUCCUCCUCCUCCUCCUUUUUUUUUUUUUUUUUGGUACUGGGGAUUGAAGCAAGGGACACCUUACCAUUGAGUUACAUCCCAAGAACUUUUCAUUAUUUAUUUUGAGACAGGGUCUCACUAAGUUGUUUAGUGCCUCCCUAAGUUGCUGAGAGUGGCUUCAAACGUGCAAUCCUCCUGCCUCAGCAUCUGAGUUGCUGGGAUCACCAACAUGCACCAUGGAACCCAGCAAAAAUUCUAUAAUCUUUUUUAAAAAUCUUAUCCCUCUGCAUAUAAUAUAUCUUUUUUCCUCAGCUUCUUUUAAAGUUUUUCUCUUUUAAAUGAUCUUAAGCAAUUUGUUUAUGAUAUGUCUUUCUAUUGUUUUUUUUCAUAUCACUUAUGCUCACGGUUCAGAUAUUUGGAUAUAUGGGUUUAUAGCACUUAUGAAAUUUGGAAAAAUAAUUCAGGUUUUAUUUCUUCUAAGUUUUUUUUUUUUUUUUUGCCAUCUCAUCUCUCCUUCCCUUUGUAGACCCUGAUCACUUGAAGCUCUUCUGUAGCUUACAAAUGUCCUAUUAUUCUGUUCUUCCCCACUUCUGUGUUUUAGUUUCUAUUUCUAGGCUAUUUCACUCAUUAAUCUUUUCUUCUGUGCUGUCUUGCUUUGGUUAAUUUCAUUCAGUAUAUUUUUUCACUUCAGAUAUAGUAGAUUUCAUACACAUUCAAUCUUUCCUUAAACUUGCUAAAUGUGAAAUAUAGUUAGAAUGCUGGAAAUACAGAUUUUAAUGUCUUUCUGUAGGAUUUCUCUCAUCUUUGAAAAUUUGGGGUAAUUUUCUAUUAAUUUUUCUUCUUAAUUAUGAGUCAUUAUUUUCCUUCUUGUCUGCGUGCUUGGUAAAUUUUCCCAGUAUGCCCAGCAGUGGAGUUUUAUCUUAUUGGGUACACGGAUUAUUUUGCCAUCCUUAUGAAAAUUCUUGAACUUUGCUCUGGGAUAUAGUUAAGUUACAUGGAAACAACUUGAUCCUCCUGGAUCAAAUUUGGUUAGGUGAUAUAAGAGUAGCAUUUGCUCUAGGACCAAUUUUACCCGACUUCUGAGGCAAGACUCUUCUGUGUACUCUUCCUUAUAAUUCAGAAAUUAUAAAGUUUGCCAGUUUGAGCCAUGAAAGCAGGAACUGUUUUUAGUCCUAUAUUAAAUCUGAUGCUUGCUUAUUGUACCUUUAAAUCUUUGACUGUUUUUUUUUUCUCUUGUUUCUAGUCAUUUCCUUACAUAUGCACUGAUAAACUUCCUGAGUUCAUUCAAUAGAGAUCUCUUCUGUCUGGUAAUCUGCAUUAUGAACUCUAGCUUGCUUUGUCCCUCAGAUUCUCAGCUCCAACUCUUCAAAUCCAGGAAACCACUUGGAUUCCUCUCCUUGUGCCACAGCCUGGAAACUCUUGCAGGCAUUAAAAUGGGCAGUUGUAAAAUUAGUUCACUUUGUUUUCUGCUUCUCAGAUAGUACUAUCCUUUUGUUACCUAAUGUCCAAUGUCUUUUAAACAAUCAUAUCUAGGGGCUGGGGAUAUAGCUCAUUUGGUAGAGUGCUUACCUUGUAUGCAUAAGGCCCUGGGUUCAAUCCCCAGCACCAAAAAAAAAAAAAAAAAGAUCAUAUCUAAAUAAAAGUCUUCUGGGCUUGGUGGCCCAUUCCUAUCAUCCCAGCUGUUUGGAAGGCUGAGACAGGAGGAUUUCAAAUUUGAGGCCAGUUGCAGCAAUUUAUCGAGAACUUGUCUCAAAACCAAAAAACAAAAACCAACCAACCAAAAACAAAAACAAGCCUAAAGGCUUGAAGAGACAACUUACAAUAUAGAAAAAAAAUAUUUGCAGUCCAUACGUGAAUAAGUGAUUAAUAUCCAAAAUAUAGAAGGAACUCAAACAGUUCAAUAGCCAAAAAACAAAUAAUCAAUAGCCAGAAAACAAAUAACCUGAUUUAAAAAUGGGUAAAGUACAUGAAUAGAUAUUUCUAAAAAAAUAUAUAUAUAAAACGUUGGCUGGGGUUGUGGCUUAGAGGCUGAGUGCUUGCCUAGCAUGUGUGAGGCAUUGGGUUUGAUUCUGAGUACCACACAUCAAUAAAUAAAAUAAAUGUCCAUUGACAACUAAAAAAAAUACAUAAAACAUCCAACAAAACUAUGUAAUGUUUUGAACAGCCAACAAUAAAAAAUUAAAAAAAAAAAAAAAACAUCCAACAAGUUGCUGGGCGUGAUGGCGCCCACCUGUAAUCCCAGUGACUCUGGAAGCUGAGGCAAGAGGAUGGCAAGUUCGAAGCCAAUCUUAGCAAUUUAGGGAGGCCAUGAGAAACUCAGUGAGCUUCGUCUCAAAAUAAAAUAUAAAGGGCUGGGGUUGUGGUCAGUGGUAUACAUAUAUAAAAGNAGAGAUAUCAGUGCUCCCAUGUAAGAUGUGGCACUACCCAAAACAGCCAAGUGUCUAUUAAAGUCCAAAUGCAUUAAAAACUAUGGUCUAUACAUACAAAGGAAUAUUCUUCUGCCUUGAGAAAAGAAGGAAAUCCUGACAUUUAUAAUAAUGUGAAUAGAUCUACAAGACAUUAUGUUAAGUGAAAUAAGCUAGGCAUAGAAAGACAAAUACUGCAUGAUAUUGCUUAGAUGUGAAAUAUAAAAAAGUCAGACUCGCAAAAAUAGCAUAAAAUGGUGGUUACCAGAGCGUGGUGAUGAGGGUGGGGGUGAAGAUGGAGAUGCAGGGGAAUGUAGGGGGGUAUUGUUGGUUGAAGGACAUAGAAUUUCAUUUAGGAGCAAUAAUUUUAAGAGAUCUAUUGUAAACCCCAGUGACUACAAUUAAUAACAUACCAUGUAUUUGAAAAUUGCUAAGAGUAGAUUUUAAAUAUUCUCAUCACAAAAAAAAGUAUGUGAGGUAAUGCAUAUACUAAAUAGUUCAAUAUAUUCAUUCUACAACGUAUACAUAUAUUAAAGCAUCAUGUUGUGCAUCAUGAAUAUGUAUAACUUUUACCAGUCAAUUAAAAAAUUAAUUUAAGCAAUUCAGUCAACAUUACCUAUUGAUCCUUGGUGGAAAACAGAAUUUGGAUAUAAUAUAAACAUGGCAGUUUUUAGCAUGUGAUGCAUGGCUUAGGAGAAAAGAUAUACUUUAGAUUUGGGGGAUUCCAGUUUAGAGUAAUAAAAGUUGGCUUAAAGUCUAUACUUUUUCUUACACUGUGAAUUUAAAGUUAUUAUUUUAAAUAGUGAAUAAGUAUACAACAUGUAAGUGCCCAGUGAAAAUUCUAAAAGUUUGAUACUUUUUUUGUGUGUGUGUGGCACUGCAGAUUGACCCCAGGGCCUCAUACAUGCUAGACAGGCACUCUACUGAGCUAUAUCCCUAGCCCUAAGAGUAGGAGACUUUUAAAGGUCAUUCAUCCAUUGACUGGAAUCUAGCCAGGUUUUAAACUUUUUGCCUUACAUUCUAGAUAAUUUAUUUGCAAAAUUAGGUAAAAUUUGGGAAUCUUAGGGAUAAUUCUUCUCAGAUGGCAUAUCUUGGCAAGGUUUAUGACAUUUUAUACCUAUUAUUCACUGACAUUAUGAUAUCUUGUGAGGUUUUAUUUUAGUAUUUAGUUUAAAGAAUAAGAUAAAGAGGCUAUGAUGAAUCUCAUGAAUAGCCUUUGCCUAGAAAACAAACACAGUGAUUGCUCUUUACACAUAACCUGAAAUCAAGAACAAUACCAGCAUCUAAAGGUACAGGAAUUUAAAUCACAAGUGCAUAAGGUUUGAAUCCUGAUACACCUGAACCAUGUUUUGUACUACCUCAGCUUUCAAAAAUCUGUAAUUUUUCUAUUGAAUUGGGAGUUAUUCAUUUUGAGGGUAAUAAAGAAAUUCCAAUUUGAACUUCCACGUUUAUCUUUUAAUUGGAAUUUUCCCAAAGCACAAAAGUAAAAAGUGUAAAAGUUGCUGUGUUUCAUUAGUUUCAUUCUUUUUGAAUGUUGCUACCCUGAAAGCUCUGUGUGAAAUUAUUAGAAGACAAGUUUUCAAAUGGUGGUAAAAGAAGAUGCAUAUGUGGGGACUCACUCAAAGGGCAUUAUUUAAAAAAGAAAUUUUGUAGCCACCCAGAUCUCAGGGUAGCUAUGUCCAUUCAAGGAUAGAGAAUCUGCCAUCCGUGUGAUUAUUUUUACAUCUGAACUUUUUUUUUAUACACCAGAGAGACUCAAAACUUUCAGGGUCAUUUGCCCAGCAUGUAGUGGAAUGUCCUGUGCAAUAGAUUCCAAUUAAUAUGACCAUGUUCAAUGGCCCUGUAUCACCAAUGAUGUAUAACUUCUUUCCACUUGGCUUUAUAUGGCACUUCUUUGUUGCAGCUGUAACCAGGUCUAUCGCCCCUUUGACAAAAAUUUCAGUUACCCCAGAGAGAAGCUUUCAAUUUUAUUAAGCAUUGAAGUCCACACAUUUGUUCUUUUUCAGAAGAGCAGAUCAAAAGCACUCUUUCUAAGGAAGUAAUCUGAUAAAUUAGGAUAGUACUGGUGGACUCUGGCAAUAAUGUUUUUUUCUGUAAUUGAAACCUAAGAGCUUGUAUAAACUGACUAGACUAUCAUGAACUUUUUAGCAUUUAACAAAAGUUUCUUUCAUUUUUUAAAAAAGUAAAUAGGGUUCCUUGAUUCUAUUUAACCAGUUCUUUAGCAUGCUGUGUCUUUUUGGUUGUGGUUAGGAAAACCUCAAUCUAGGUUUAGUGAUAGGGAACUGACAAUCAAGGAAAAAAGCAAUUAGAUCAUCAAGUUGUGGUAUAGAGAAAAGCCUGUGGUUUUUCAAUCCUAUCUUUCACAUUAAUUCACUGUAAAAACUGGAGCAAGAGACUCAAUUUUUUUCUGGGCCACAGUUUCCUCAUCUUUGAAAAGGAAGGAUUAAUUGUAUGGUAUGUAAAACUUCUGCUGAAUCAGAAAUUCUCAAAUUCUAAAUGCCAUACUUUGUGUUUACAUAUAGCCAUUUCUUUUUCCUUUGUGUCUCCUGCCUGCUACAAUUUCAGGUUUAGUUUGGCAAUGGAAUAAUAUGAUGUAGUACUGCUUCACAAAAGAGCCCAGACAGAGUCUCAUUUUUUUCCAUAGUCCCAAACUGCAAGAGUUUGGAAAAGACACCAGACAGGCUCUUCUUGAGAAAAUUCUCUCUCUCUCUCUCUCUCUCUCUCUCUCUCUCUCACACACACACACACACACGUUCACACAUAUCAGAUUUCUUCACAGCUGAUGAGACAAAUGUUGCCUUCUGUGUAUGUCUGAAUUUGAGUGCUACCCCCUGUUAUUAGCACCUUCAAAGGUUUAGAAUGAGAUCUUUAAAUUCCAGUUUGUGGUAUUUCAAUUCUUGGGAGGGGUAUCAUGAAUCAAAAUGCAUGCCACACACUGCCUGUAGACUAAAUAUAAUUACUUGUAGUGGUUUGUCAAUGGGUGCUUAAAAUAUCAGCAUUACAUGUAGAAGUCUUAAAAAUAUUUUAUCACUAAAUGGAAACUAUUUUGUAUAUGGAUUCUUUCUAAAUUUUAAGCUCUGAUGAUUGAGAUUUAGAGGGGAUCAUGUUCUUCAGAAACUAAACACCACCAAUAUGGGGGUGACAUUAUUAGAAAUAUUUUCUUAGGAAGUAGAAAUUUAGAAAUCAAGUUUCUAAUUUAGACCCUUGCCAAUCCAUUUCUGGUAUUAGGCAAUUCUCCAAACAUCUACAAAUGCUAGUUUGACACUGGAGAUUGAAUCCAGGGGCACUCUACCACUGAGCUAUAUCCCCAGACCUUUCUAAAAUUUUUAAAUUUUGAACUUGGGGUUCUCCUACCUCAGUCUCCAAAGCAGCUGGAAUUUUGGGUGUGUGCCAUCAUGCCCAACUCUGUGCUGAAUUUUUAAAGGUUAAUUGUAAUGUGGAAUCUGAAACUAUAUAAAUAUUUUUUUUCUACAGGAUUAUGCUAAAAUUCACUGAUAUUUUUCAAACUGAAUGGAUCUUUUACUCAUGCAUGAUUUUGUAAUAUCAUUCAUUUAUUGUUGAAAAAAAGUUGAUUCACUGACUUAGUUUGAUUUUUCUGAAUGCUGAUUCAUUUCAUUAUUACUAUACCAAGAGAUCUUUUUGUUAAAACCACCACCAAUCCUGUCAGGAAAACCUGUAAAUGUGAAGAAAAAAAGAAAAAAAAAAAAACCCAACAAAUUCAUGAUGACAGAUUAAAGUCUUCCAAAUAUGUUACUUUUAUCUUACAGGUUCAAAUUUUAUUUUAGGCAAGAAAUACCCUUUCUUUUUGUUUACCUAUAAAUAUCAAAAGGUCUGCCAAAUACUUGAUGUGAGAAUCCACAUUUGUUUACUGGUCUUUUUCUCAAGCAAAAAUAAUGUUCCGUGAAAACAGGUUGAUUCCGCCUCUAACUCAAUUGUGUCAGUUUUUUUUUUUUUUUAAUAUGUUUACUUUACAUUUCUGUGGUGCUGAGGAUUGAACCCAGUGCCUCAUGCAUGCUAGGCGAGCGCUCUACCACUGAGCCACCACCCCAGCCCCAGUUUUUUUUUUUUUUUUCCCAGAGACAACCAUGUUACUUCAAUAUGCAGCAAUAGUGUUUCAUGAACACUUUUCAUUUCAUUAUGCAGAAUGCUAAUAAGACAUGUACUCAAGGGUCUAGAUUUAUUAAAGUAAUAUUUUUAUUGCUUUUUUUUUCUUACUCUUUCUUUUUUUUGGCGGGGGCAGGGGGUGGGGUGUGGGGUGGAAUUGCAGAUUGAACUCAGGGAUGCUUUGCACCAAGCUACAUCCCCAGCCCUUUUUUAUUUUUUAUUUUGAGAUAAGAUCUCACUAAGUUGCUUAGGGCCUCACUAAAUUGCUGAGACUGACCUCAAACUUGCAUUCCUGUUGCUUCAGCCUCCCAGGUCACUGAAGUUAUAGGUGUGUGUGUCAAUGCUCCUGGCUAUAAAAGACAUUCUUGAAUGAAACUGGCAUUUUAGGGCUGGGGUUGUGACUCUGUGGUAGAGCGCUUGCCUGGCAUGUGCAGGGCCCUGGGUUCGAUUCUCAGCACCACAUAUAAAUAAAAUAACUACAACUAAAAAAUAAAUAUUUUUUAAAAAAGAAAGAAAGAAUGGCCUGUGUUCCCUGAGGAAAACCUCCACGUGGGACCCCCCAAGGCCCCUGCAAGGGAGGACCAUGGGGGUGGAACUGCCACCAGGGGGACAUCUGGGUGUCAAAAAAAAAAAAAAGAAACUGGCAUUUUCUUAUUGGUGUGCCUGUCUGAUGGUGAAGUAUGUGAUACUACCAAUGUAGUUUGAUAUCAGUCCUUGAAUCUUCCUAAGGACCACUCCUCCUGCCCAUUGAUUUUACACCAUUGGUAAUUAUUAACACAGUGAAGGAAAAAAACUAACAUCUUAAAUUUAUUAUAAAAAUAGCUUUGUUCUUGCAGACUUUUUACAGGGAGCUUGGAGACCCCAGGAGAAUGCAGAUUGCACUUUGAGAAUUUCUGGACUAGAGUUUAAGAUUGUAAUGGUUUGACUUCUCUCUUUUAGUGGUCAGAAGAACGGGUCAGCUUCUCACUGCUCUCUUUGCCACAGAGUUGUUUCAUCAGGAGUAAAGAAUUAUUGACACUGAGGUCCACUCAUUAGAAGAAGGACCUACUUAAUGACUGAGGCAAGAUGUGAAAGCAGAGGGAACUUGAACUAAUGUAGUUGGUACCAGUAAGCAGCACAUAACUGCUCUCUUCUAACUAUAUUUGACUCUUUCCCCAUGUGGGACAAUAAUAAACAGACCCUUAAGAAAUUCUUGGUAUUGUGAAUUGUGCUGCUAUGAACAUCGAUGUGGCAGUAUCCCUGUAGUAGGCUCUUUUAAGGUCUUCAGGGAAUAGUCCGAGAAGGGCAAUAGCUGGGUCAAAUGGUGGUUCCAUUCCCAGCUUUCCAAGAAAUCUCCAUACUGCUUUCCAAAUUGGCUGCACCAAUUUGCAGUCCCACCAGCAAUGUACAAGUGUACCCUUUUCCCCACAUCCUCGCCAGCACUUGUUGUUGUUUGACUUCAUAAUGGCUGCCAAUCUUACUGGAGUGAGAUGGUAUCUUAGGGUGGUUUUGAUUUGCAUUUCUCUGAUUGCUAGAGAUGGUGAGCAAAAAAAUUUAAAUUUUGAAUAUGAAAACUUCAUAAAAAAUUUUUAAAAGGAGGAGGAAAAAAACUGUUUUCAGCAAUUAGCAUAGUUGAUGUUUUUUUAUUUAUAUUGCCAUCUCCUCCACCAUGCCCAAACUAGAGAGUUUUUGGAAGUGAAUCCCAAACACCAUAUUAUACAUAUAUAUUUUUUAUGUUAUCUGUAAAACGAUUAUUUUAUUUUUUCAUUUUUUAAAGACACUUAAUAUUUUUACCAAAAUAUAGUGAAUUGCUUCAAAAUUGUGCUUUAUUUGCUGUUGAUUUCAAUUAGAACCCCAAGUGGCAAUGAUUGAUAAACUUUUGUUUCUCUUCAUCCUUCUCAUUCUGAAUCUUCCCUCCCCAAACAUUUUUGUUGAAGAAAGAGUCAUUCUCCUUGUAGUUUUUCUCAGUCCCCAGAGUUUCCUAUGAAGUGGUCCUUAGAGUUAAAGUCUUGGCUUUUUUUUUUUUUUUUUUUUUAGGUUAUUCUUUGACAAGAUUUCUGCAUGGGAAAUGUUGAGCAUUUUCAUCGGGAAGCACAGAGGUCUGGUUGUCCUCUCUUUAUUUGUGAUAUUAACAUCUGUUUAUGGCCAUUGUUUAGAGUAGGCCCAUCAUACCAUUAAUUGUUAUGAAAUGUUAAUAUUCUUUUUAUAACAGUUUCAUGUAUUAGCUGAAAUAUUUUUGUACAGAGACUCUGCUCACAAAUUUUGGUUACCUUCCAGUACCUACCACAUAGGAAAGACAAAAUACUCAGUUCUUUCACUUUAUCUGUCCCUAUCUUCUCACAGUUUAUCCUCUCUCCCUGUAUAUGGUCAUUUAAAAACUCUUUUGCUUUAGCUUUCCAUUAAAAAUAAUAAUAAUAAUAAACAUAAAAAAUGGUAACCAUAACAGUCCUUGAACUUGUUCUUUUCAUUUACUUGUAUAUCGUGGAGAUCACUUUUAUAGCAGUGUAUAAUAACAGCUUUAUUUCCUUUUAUAGUUUCCUAACACUUAAUUGAGUGGCUACAUCAUGCUAUUCAACCAGAACACUUUCUGACGGAUGUUUGCUUUGUUCCCAGGUGUGUGCUGAUCAGCGUUCCACAACCAGCUCUAUAUAAAGGAAAAAGUCCUGAUUUGGAGUAUUUGCAAAUUUCUGUGGUAUAAACAUUCCCACCAUGGCUGCUUUCAAGCUCCUACCAUGAUGCCCCUGAAGGUGAAGUUCGGGAGUGAUGUACAGUGGCACAUCCUUCAAAUACAAU
rnacentral:lncRNA from 1 species